ACUGUCUUCGGUAACAUAUACGAAAAUAGAAACGAUACCGAGAAUAUUAGCAUGGCCCCUGCGCAGGGAUGACACGCAAAUUUGUGGCGCGUACCUCAAUUUU
ensembl:snRNA U6 U6 spliceosomal RNA